rnacentral:snRNA from 1 species
GUGCUAGCUUCGGCAGCACAUAUACUAAAAUUGGAACGAUACAGAGAAGAUUAGCAUGGCCCCUGCACAAGGAUGGCACGCAAAUUCAUGAAGCAUUCCAGAUAUAU